rnacentral:rRNA from 1 species
GGCAACGGCCAUACCAUGUUGAAUACACCGGUUCUCGUCCGAUCACCGAAGUUAAGCAGCAUUGGGCGCGGUUAGUACUUGGAUGGGUGACCGCUUGGGAACACCGCGUGCCGUUGGCACAU